UCUCCCCUGUGAACGACCCAGCGUGUCCGGAGAGGACACCUGCGUGCCACAAAAGUGGCUGCACAGGAGCAGCCGGGUCCUUGUCCCAGCGCGGCUGCUCCACGGAGCCCACGUUAACUCUCCGAGCAUCCCUGGAAGUACCACACAUGCCCUUUGCAGACAAAGCCACAGGCUUGGGCUCCUGCUGCAAACACGGCUUGGGGGGCUUUAACUGUGUCCGGAAGGGACUUGCUUUGAAUCCUGCAUAAAACUGAAGAACAUGAAAGGAUUUAAAAA